rnacentral:lncRNA from 1 species
UCUAAAACUAUGAAGUUACGGUGUACAUUUAAAUGGUUCCGGUGAGGUUGCGGUGGAAUGUAACAUACCGGAUUUUAAGUAUAAAGGUGAAAAUAAAUAAAAAUAGUAUGAGAUACUAUUUUAUUGGGUUUAGGGAAGUGAAAUAUAGAUUGAAAAUGACCUGUACUGAAAUCAGAGCGAAAACAGAAGAUUUAGAAUUUUCUGUAAGAAACGGGGCAAAUAAAUUAGCAGAAAAUGCACAGUGUCAGAAAAUUAUGAAAACUGAAGGAUAUGUCAAAAAUAUUUUUAUGGGGCUAGAUUUAAAGUUUCAUACCAUUCUGACACCCGUAGAGUGAGAAAUAAAAUCCGACAGUCAUCUGAUAAAGAUUACAGUUCGGUACAGUUUUCGGUGACUAAACGGGGUCGAAACUGAAAACGUAAGAUAUAUUCUUACUCAGUACGUUAAACCAAGCCUGCCUGUCAAAUUUGAGCGCAAACGGACGUUCAGAAGGGUUCUAACUGUUCCGAACUGCUAAACUACUGUCCGAGGUGAAUAAUGUAAUUGUUGAGGGACUGAAUUGUAAAAGGGACUUAAUCCCUUCUUCUCCUCCCUCAACCGUGCGUACACAACCUGCACACACACACACACACAACACACGCAUGGAAAGGAAAAGAGAAAACUCUCCCUUUCUCUCUCUAAAUCUCUCCCAAAAUUGAUGAAUUUGGUGGAGAAGCAAGCUUGGAAGCUGAUCUUCAUCUCUUUCACCUUCUUCCUCUCCAUUGGAGCUUGCUUGAGAGGUAAGCUUCAAACCCCUUUAAUGGUAGAUCUUUAGAGCUUUAUUUAGAUGCUCUAGAAAUGGGUUUGAUGGAAUCCUAGGAUGUUAAAUGAGUGUUUAUUGCAUGAUUUAAGUUCCAAUUUGGAGCAUCUUGUAAUAGUAAACACCUAGGGCUCAAAAAUGCUAGUUUGGUAAAUAUGAGGGUUUGAUCUCAUUUGACCCUCUGUAAACAUAAUUGCUAGGUAAACGAACGCGCUGGCGAAGACGGUUCGGCGAUUCGUCGAGCCGGUGCGAAGUUAUUAAAGAAACGAACGUUUAGGCGUCGUUUUCGCCUGGAGGGCCGAGGCGACGUCGUAAAAUCAUGGAAUUGGAUUUGAGGCACCAUAACAAUAAAACGAAGACCCUUUUUGCCCGAGGCUGCGAAGCGAUGCGCGGUUGGUGCGCAAUUGCAAGUUCCGGCAGAACCGAGCACCGGAUGCCGCGGGAGGCCGAUUGCAAGUGUCGACAAGCAAUCGGAAUGUACUAACAGGUGGGUUGUGUUUACCGAAGCGACUAGGUCGCCUUCAUGUCGAAGAAAAAUAUGAUUUCCUAGUUGAUGCAUAUAAUGGGUUGAAUGCUAUAUGAUGCAUAUGAUGUGAAGAUUGGGUAAAUGCAUAUAAUGUGAGAAACGUAUAUUGCAUGAUAAUUACAUAUGAAUAUAAUGCAUGCUAGUUGAUGAUGACAAAUUAAUAUGUUGAAUGUUAGAUGAAAGCAUGAACUAAAUGUUAGAGAGAUGCAUGAACUAAAUAUUAGAGAGAUGCAUGAAAAUGAUAUUGUAUGAAUGCAUAGGCCAUAUUAUGCAAGUUGGAACAUAUGCAUGUUAAUGUAUUUGUGGACUAUGUUGAGUAACAUAUGCUAAUUAACAUAUGCAUGUUGACUUGGGUCUAAAACUCUUGAAUGAUUAGAAAACUCGACAUUAGAAAUACAAAUGUAGUAUUAAUAUCAUGAUAUGGUUUGAAUUCCUACAAUGGGAUGAUAAAUGUGGAUAAGACCUAGGUAAAUGACAACCUAGAGAUUGUGUACAAGUAGAGCAUUGAGAACAUUUACAUGAUGACGAGUGGCAUAUAGUUAAUGUAAACACGAAGACGAGUGGCAUAUAGUUAAUGUAAACACGAAGACGAGUGGCAUAUGAGAACCUUAGUGUAGCUGAAACACUAGAUUGAUGAGUAUAGAAACUUAUUGGUUCUAUGUUGAUGCUAUCCUUAGUUGAUAGGAUGUUCUCAGUUUAUGUGGAUUUGGAUCGAGCUCACCUAGCCUGUCUGCGCCUGGUGUGGUCGCCCCACACAGGUAGUGCACUCCAGAGUUGUCACCCGAGGAGGGUUAACGUAUUUACCCUUGGACUAACGUAUCUGUCCGCAGGUGGUUUCGGGGGUAGUUGAGCCCGGGCUCCUCCCCUAUGAAACUUACUUACGUGAGAUUUGAUGCGAGCCUUGAGUUCGCCGAGAGAUUGGGUAACAAAUUAUGAGCUAUAGUGAUUGUCCUACUUGAGGGGAUUUAAGGCCGAGGUGUAAGUGAGACGUCCUUCGCCUCGAGUCUGGUUUUGUGCGGUACUCUGCAGACGAUUGACUCAAGACCGAGUCGGGCGGUUAGGUUUGUAAAGGUAGAUGAAACUUUAUGACAAAAACGGUAAAGGAUAGUGUCACGCCCCGCGACCAACCGCUAAUUUGGACCGGGUCGCGGCGCCGCUAACAGACCGCCGAACGGAUCGGGGUUUCCCCUGUACGCGGACAGAGUCUCCCCCGUACGUUCUAGGCGUCGCAAUCCAAACAAGAUACAUAAUGCCGAAACCCGAGUAAACUCCGUUAAUAAGGUACAUAGGUGGUCUCUAUACAUAGUACAAAACGUCUCUCAAAAACACAAAAAGAGAGUAACCACCUAGGAGCAAAAGCGAGCUCCGCUAUCUAUCAAGCUAGGCGACUCCCUUGCCGCGAUCCCGUGCCUCCGCCGGUGCCGAAGGCUCUGAAAAAAAAACCACAAAACAGGGGGCGUGAGAACUAUUGAAUAAUAGUUCCCAGUAGGCAAUUACUGGCUUCAGUGAAAUGCACCGCUAGGCCCAAACUAAAAAGGGGUCAGUAAGCAAAUAUAAACAAAAGCGAUAUGUACGACAAGUAAAUAAGCAUGAAUAUUUGCUAUCAUAUGAUAUCUCUACUUAGCAUGAUUUAGCAUAAGUAAGAAAAGCUAUUCUCGCAUGAAUGUACCCAAGCAUCGCUAAUAUGAUGUCCAUAAGUCAAAUAGUAAAGAUGUCAUUGCUUACUAUUCUAGUCAACGUCAACAUGGCAUGAUGAAUGCUCAAAGUCAAAUCUGAAGAGACCCACUCGAAGGCUGUCUAAGGCCCUGAGACCCACCCGUAGGCUGUGUAACAUAUCACAUCCCUCGUAAAUCAUGCCGAGUUUCGUCGAAAUAUGCGCAAUGCGGAGUGGAACAAGUUGGUAUGGGCUAGUAGUGCUUUGGAGCCCAUAUAUAGUGCAAAGGGACCCGAGAGAGUGAAAUUUCAAAAUCUGGCUAAGUCCCAGAUUUUGUGCUCUCGGGGACCGGUUCCUGAAGGAGAGACUGGUCUCCGUACGCGUAGCCUGCCAGGAAUCCUGAGGCAACCGGUCCCUGAGGAACCGGUCCCUAAAGGAGAGACCGGUCCCUCGUUGCGCAGUCAGCCAAAAACCCCGAAAAUUGGCUAAGUCCUGGAAAACAGCCUUUCAAGAACAGGUCCCUGGUCGGGGAGACCGGUCCCCCACUGCGAAAAUUGCCCAGUAAGGGCUGAUGCAGAAAUAGAAAGUUGAGGGGCCUUGUUGCUAUUGUUGCAACAUGUUAUAUACCCUAUACUCUCUCCCUUUCACAGCCAACUCUACCUCUCUUUCUCUCAUUUUUUCUUUUCUCUCUCUAGAGAUCAUCCCCUAGAGCUUGGAGAAGAAGGAGAAGAAGCAAGGAGAAGUGGGUUUUGGAGGCUUUGGUGGAUCUAAGAGCUCUCCUACAAGAAGGAUCUUGGGAGGAGCUUGGGCCAAGGUGAGUUUGAGCAAGUAGAACUCUAGGGUUUGGUUUUAAACCCUAAGAUUUGGAGUUUUGAGUUUGUUUCAAGCUUUAGAAACCUUGUAGAGCUCAAGACACCAUGAAACCAUGGUUUCUUGACGUGCUCCCAUGGUGAACCCCUAGGGUUCAUGCUAGAUGCCAUAGGAAUGUGUAGAAUGGCUUUGUAAAGGUAUUAGAGAGCUUCCUAGGUGAUUCUAAGCAAUCUUUUGCUUAGAAAUGAGAUCAAUUUAGGAGAAAUCUCAUUGUGACAUUGUUAGGGCUCAAAUUUGGGGCUUUUGCCCUAGGAUUUUUCGAGGACAAAUUGACCUCGUAGAAACCUAAUUGGGGGUGUCCUCGACGCAGGGGACAACUCCGUUGGACGUUACGAAAAUAUUUGAGUAUAGUUCCUGUAUAUAGGGUCUAAUAUGGCACUAUUUUGGCUAUAGGACGCGGAUUCGGUGUUUUUAAAGUUCGGGAGUCGACAUAUUCCUCGUCUACCACCACUCGAGGUGGGGGUGCACACCGGAACCAUCGGAUUCUCCUUUAUGUCUAUUUCAAUUUUUAUUGAGCAUAUGGUUGUAUAUUCAUUCAUGCAUAGUAGGGUUAAAUUGUAAGGUACCGGACUUCUAAAACUAUGAAGUUACGGUGUACAUUUAAAUGGUUCCGGUGAGGUUGCGUUGGAAUGUAACAUACCGGAUUUUAAGUCUAAAGGUGAAAAUAAAUAAAAAUAGUAUGAAAUACUAUUUUAUUGGGUUUAGAGAAGUGAAAUAUAGAUUGAAAAUGACCUGUACUGAAAUCGGAGCGAAAACAGAAGAUUUAGAAUUUUCUGUAAGAAACGGGGCAAAUAAAUUAGCAGAAAAUGCACAGUGUCAGAAAAUUAUAAAAACUGAAGGAUAUGUCAAAAAAUAUUUUUAUGAGGUUAGAUUUAAAGUUUCAUAACAUUCUGACACCCGUAGAGUGAGAAAUAAAAUCCGACAGUCAUCUGAUAAAGAUUACAAUUCGGUACAGUUUUCGGUGACUAAACGGGGUCGAAACUGAAAACUUAAGAUAUAUUCUUACUCAGUACAUUAAACCGAGCCUGCCUGUCAAAUUUGAGCGCAAACGGACGUUCAGAAGGGUUCCAACUGUUCCGAACUGCUAAACUGCUGUCCGAGGUGAAUAGUGUAAUUGUUGAGGGACUAAAUCGUAAAAAGGACUUAAUCCCUUCUUCUCCUCCCUCAACCGUGCGUACACAACCUGCACACACACACACACAACACACGUAUGGAAAGGAAAAGAGAAAACUCUCCCUUUCUCUCUCUAAAUCUCUCCCAAAAUUGAUGAAUUUGGUGGAGAAGCAAGCUUGGAAGCUGAUCUUCAUCUCCUUCACCUUCUUCCUCUCCAUUGGAGCUUGCUUCAGAGGUAAGCUUCAAACCCCUCAAUUUUUCACCUCUUACACAGCCCUCACUGGGCAUUCUGCGCGCUAAGGGACCGGUCUCCCCGACCUGGGACCGGUCCCCGGGGCCUCCCCCCGCGGACACGCGUUCGGGAACCGGUCCCUCCCCGAGAGACCGGUUCCCGGGAGACCGGUUCCUCUCAGAGAGACCGGUUCCCGAGAGCUGAACCUUUGGGACUUAGCCGAUUUUCGGCUCUUCUCACUGGUGUUGCAGGCUGGGACCGGUCCCUCCUCUGCCAGGGACCGGUUGCAUCAGCAACCCUACAGCCUUCAGUUGAUGGGACUGGUCUCUCACCUCGAGAGACUGGUCCCCGAGAGCAAUCCCAGCCCAAAAUGCAGAUUGCAUUAUUUGCUCUCGCGGACUCCAUUCCAAUGCACUUCUCGGUUUUCGUGCAUCCUUAGGUUUUCCAAAGCUUAUCCAUUCGACCCUUAGUCGAUUCUAGACGAGGUGCAACCCUUGGAUUUCGAGAGUUUACAUCGUUACAUUCUCCCCUCCUUAAAAGAGUUUCGUCCUCGAAACUCACUCAUUCUCACCCUCUUUUAUUCCUCGGUCCACUCCUCGAGUACUCAAGGGUUCCAAUGCACUUUUGUACUUUGGAGUGGCCUUUAUUCUCAUCGAACUCAUCUAAAGGCCCACGACGAAGAAUGUGAGACCACGUUUACUCACAUUUUCCUCUUGCAACAUUAAAAGUGCAUUAUCACUCUGCAAACCUCAAUGGCGGUGUGAGUCAAUACUUAAGACCCCACACGCUAACAUCACUAGCCACUCGGCUAGAGAAGGACCUAUUCCCUCGCGGUUCUAGCGAACAUCAUCACCGUUCGAGAUCAGGGCUACCCUUUCAUCCCUGUCACGCCCCGGGACCCGGCCUAGGCCCGCCCGGUGCGUAUCCAGACCCGCCAUAUGCCUACACAUAUAAGGCGUCUACAACAAUAGCGAAUAAAUGAACAACAAAUAGAGUGUAUCUAAAGAUAUCAGAGCAAGUAUACAGCUAAGUUCUUAAGCUUGUUGAACAAUCAGGUGGGAGAAUACAAGGAAAAACUUCAAUUAACCAUACCUAUAGUCGGCAAAACGAGGGUGUGUUUAAAAUAAAAUACUAUCGACAAGUCUAAGCUACAUAUAAGGGGGGUCUCUACAAAAAUGGUACAAGUCUCAAUCCUGCUCCAAACUAUCAAUCGCUGAAUAGGAGAGGUUACCUACCAUCGAGCUCGUAAUAUCCUCGCCUAGCUAACUCGGUGAAAAAGAAUGACCGUUUGCACGAGAUCGCCAUUCUCUCCAUAUUUCCUGCCCCGUCUGGUUGGAUCCCGAGCCAUCUUCUGCCUCUGGGUGAAAAUGGGAGAGGCUGAUCUGAAAUGGAAAACGAGUGGAACAAUCAGUGGAGGGCCUGGGAGCAACUAUAAUUUAUAGUUCCAGGGGUGGGGACAAUGUAAUCUGUAGCAUUAGCUAAAAUGCGAAUCCACUAGGGCACUAGAUCAAGAGGACAACCAGUGAGCAGAUAUAGAAAAAUUGAAAUACAAACUGCCAGAAAUAAAAGCACAUAUUAAAGAAAAUGGUCUAUACUGCGAUGCCACAAGUAUUAUGUGAUAAGAACAUGGUUAGCUUACUUUACUUCUAUCAUCCAUAUACGCAAUACAUACAUACUAUGUUCUAUCACGGCUAACCAAAGUAUGCUAUGAUGCAACAAGUAACAAUAGUUAGUCAUCGGUUCCUUCCUUGAUGCUUUAUACAUGUCCAAAUGUGUCAAUACUAUUGCUUGAAAAGUGCAUGUCUCAAGUAAACAACUACUAAGCCUAUCUAGUAGUGGUUAUUGUUAUAAAGUUAAUGUCAUUGUUCAAUCUUGUUUAGGACUACAGAAGUGUAGUCACGGUUGUGCCGCCUAGCUGCCUGUGGUAGCCACUCAUUCCACGCUAUGAAAGAGCUGUCCCGACAACGACCCUAAGGCGCCUGCGCCUAGCUGGCCCGUUUGGUUAGAUCGCUCNNNNNNNNNNNNNNNNNNNNNNNNNNNNNNNNNNNNNNNNNNNNNNNNNNNNNNNNNNNNNNNNNNNNNNNNNNNNNNNNNNNNNNNNNNNNNNNNNNNNAUUCUAAGCUUAGGAUCCACAGCUAUCCCAGUUUCAGAAUCACAUGGCCUAGAAAUGCCACUUCUCGAAGCCAAAAUUCGCAUUUCUUUAACUUUGCAAACAGUUUCUUUUCUCGAAGUACUUGUAACACCGCUCUCAAAUGGUCUUCAUGUUCCAUGUCACUACGAGAAUAUAUCAAGAUGUCAUCAAUAAACACUACGACAAAUCUGUCCAAAUAGGGCUUAAAGACACGGUUCAUUAAAUCCAUAAAAGCUGCUGGGGCAUUAGUCAAUCCAAACAGCAUGACUGUAAAUUCAUAAUGCCCAUACCGUGUUCUAAAGGCGGUUUUAGAAACAUCUUCAGGCUUGAUCUUGAGCUGAUGAUAGCCUGAUUGCAAAUCAAUUUUGGAGUACACUUUCGAUCCUUGCAGCUGAUCGAAUAAGUCAUCAAUUCUAGGCAAUGGAUAUUUAUUCUUGAUUGUGACUUUGUUGAUUUCUCGAUAGUCCACGCACAAUCGAAGAGAUCCAUCAUUCUUCUUAACAAACAAUACCGGUGCUCCCCAGGGCGACACACUUGGUCGAAUAAAUCCUUUAUCUAGAAGAUCUUGUAACUGUGCCUUCAGCUCUUUCAAUUCAGCGGGUGCCAUCCUAUAGGGCGCUUUAGAAAUAGGGGUAGUCCCAGGGACAAGAUCUAUCACAAACUCAACCUCCCUAUCAGGUAGCAUGCCCGGCAAUUCAGCUGGAAACACAUCCCCGAAUUCUCGCACAACCGGGAUAUCAUCAAUCUUGACGGCUUCUCCGUCACUCACAGAAAUGCUAGCCAAAUAGGCUACACAUCCUCUUCGUAUCAACUGUCGUGCUCGCAAAGAGCUAAUGGUCAUUGCGAACAAUGAACUCUGACACCCCUUAUAAACAAACUCUUGCUGACCCGGUUCUCUAAAGGUUACCGUUCUGUUCGUGCAAUCUAUGGUGGCAUAAUACUGUGUCAACCAAUCCAUACCCAAUACUACAUCAAACUCACCUAGUUUGUGUAGUGCCAAUAAAUCCACUGGCAUAAUCCAGUCGCCUACCCUAACUGGGCAGCGAGGGCAAAACUCACGAACAUCUAGGGUAUGGUCAGGUACAAUCACUCGUCCCAGAUGCAAAGUAGGUGCUAAAGGAAUGCUAUGCAACUCGGCGAACUGCCGAUCAAUAAAAGAAUGCGAAGCACCAGUAUCAAAUAAUGCACGAACACGAAUAUCAUAAAGCAUAAUAAUACCUGCUACGACCUCCUGUGCUGCUGCGGCGCCCUCGGUCUGGGCGGCAUACAUCCGCCCACUCGAACCCUGCUGCGAACUCUCCGACUGCCGCUGUCCUGGUGGUCGCCUAGACUGAUAAGGCGCUGUCGGGGUCCCCUGGCUCGGAGCUGAAGAUGCAGGUGCAGUCGCUGACGAGGGUGCAGGCAAAGAACCUCUCGGGCACUCUGAACGAAAGUGGCCCUCCUGGCCGCAAAGAAAGCACCUGCCCCCACGCUGUGGACACUGUGGCGGUACGUGAGGCCCACCACAGAUAACACAACGCGGCGGUCGACGACGCUCGGGUGCUCCACGGGGUGCUGAAGAACCUCGACCCCUCGACUGUCCUGACUGUCCCCUCGGAUACUUUGGCGGUCUCCUGAAGGACUGCUGACCACUGCUCUCAGCUGCUGGUCUCUUGCCUUUGCUUCGAUCCACAACAUCUCUUUCCUUCAUGAUUUCUGCCCCCUUCUCAACAAUCAAAGCCCGGUUCACGACGUCCCGGUAAGUGGAGAGGUUUGACGCCUGGACCAAUCUGAAGAUCGCAGGUCGCAAACCCACCUCAAAAAUGCGAGCCUUGUCCUCAUCAUCUCGAACUACAAAAGGAACACAGUGCAGUAAUCGGGAGAACUCUCGCUCAUACUCUGCCACUGUCCUGUCCCCCUGCCUCAGGUUUCUCAGAUCCCUUUCCAUCUGUCUCUUUACACUCUGAGGAAAGUAAGUAGUCAACAACAGUUCCUUGAACCUGUUCCACGUAAUAGCAGACAAAUCAGCACGGGGAUCCUCCCGGAUGUCCACCCACCACCUGUAAGCCUCGCCAUCAAGGUGGUGUGUCGCAAACCAAACUCGGUACCGCUCCUCAACAAAAGUGUCAUAGAAUAGUUUCUCCAUAUGCAUUAACCAUUUUUCAACCACCCAAUGAUCUGCUUUCUCCCCAUCAAAGACACGAGGGUUGCAGCGACGGAAUUCAUUCAGUCGUUCCAUCAUCCGCUCUCGCUCCUCAACCCCCACCAUCUCGGGUAACACUGUCCCAGCUGCUGCUACAGGUACUGGUGGUGGUACUACUGUCUCCUGUCGGGUCUCUGCCCUCGGAGCUACUGGGGGUGUGUCAAGUACAGGUGACUGUGCUCUCACUGUGGUGCCCCUCUCUGGUGCUGUAGGUACAGAAUCUGGAAGUACAGAAUCUGGAAUCUCUCUGUCAGUCGUCUGCCGCAGUAACAGAUCCUCUAACCUCUUCAUCCUGUCCUCCUGUCGACGCGCAGCAUCCAUCUGCUGUCGUGCUGCCGCAGCCUGCUGAGUAACCAAAUCUGUCAACAUCGCAAGCUGAUCCUGCAACUCAUGGAUCCCACUAGAUCCCGACGUAACAGAAGUUCCCACUUCCUCUGCAUCCGCCGCCUCAGCUGCCCCGGCGGCUUGCGAACGAGUCAACGGCAUCUUAAACUGCAGCACAAAAAUAAACAUAGGUAAAUAAACCCUAUACUAUUGAAUCCUCAUUGAGGAUAUAAACCAGCUAAUCAAGCGAAAGUAAUGAAAUGUAACACGUACUAACUUCCGAGGUCACGUUGUCGGCCGCCAACGUGACCCUCUGCAAAGUGAGUACUUGCACAUCCCAAUCAAACUCCCACCAAAUGGAGUUUAUAAGUACCCAAUCAAAGCACUUUCGCUAACAACAACCUAGACUAGACAUCGUCUCUUACGUGCCUAUUCUUAUAGUCCAACCAGCCUAAGGUUUGCUAGGUCUACUAAGACUCAACCCUAGGCUCUGAUACUACUAUAAUCUGUCACGCCCAGGUACCAGCGGAAGCAUAUCCGGCACGUGCACAGACCCGCCAUACACCUGCAGUAUAUAAGGCGUCUACAAAGAAAGCAAGUUGAUAGGGAGUACAACAAAGAGAGUCCUAUCCUGAUAUCAGAGCAAUGUACAAGUCGAUAUACUAUCAGUAAAAGAACAAAGAGUACAUAAACCAAAGUCUCAGCAAAAGGAGAAAAAAGCAAAAACUAUAACAUCUGGAUCUACAACCUAUAUACAAUAUAGGGUAUACAAAUAUAUCUGUACAAAGGUAGUCACUCUAUAUAAUGGACAUCACCCUCGGCCGUAGCCCGAGUAGCAAGGUGAUCGACUAGCAUGCUCCUAGCAAAGUCUAGCUAGACGCGACUCCCUUGCCACGAUCCCUAGCCUCUCCUGUAGAUGGCUCUGUAAAAACAACCACCAAAAGGGCGUGAGAACUAUUAACAAUAGUUCCCAGUGGGUAAGCCGCCAGCCUCAGCGAAUUACACCACUAGGCUCAUGAUGUACUGAAAUAAAGAAAAGCAGUAACUGCAUGAUAUAUAAGUAUGCAAUGCUAACAGGUAGUGAGCAUCUAAUAUGCAUGUAAACAACUUGUAAUAAUAUGUAAUAGCUUUCUACAGUAAUGAAUCAUUUGCAUAAUAGGGAUAUGGCAAUCUCUGUAAUCAUGAACAUAGACGUGAAUAUGAGCACGAACAUGUAAGUGACUACUGUACACUUUAAUUAAUAAGCAUUCAUUACUGUCCUUUUUCAUUGAGUACUAUCCUUUCAUUCACAGGGACCUACCCAAGGUAGUCCAGCUUGCGCCGCGCCUAAUGGUCCCGUGGUAGUAUACACUCCCCACGGCAAUCCACUUCGGCACCCAAUCCCGCACGGGCGAGUAACUGUCGCGUAGGCCAACUCCGGAGUGCCGGCUUGUAGGGAGCUACCCUCACAAGCGUGUGUGAAUGAGCACGAUGGCAAGCAAGCAAAGUCCAUUGUCCACAUGUCCCAAUUUUCAUAUUUUCAUUGCAAAGUUCUUACUCUCGAUCCUCUGAUCGGAAUUUCAAUACACGAAUAGUAACAAGAGCUAGUAUCCACUAGAUUGUAAACAUGUAAAGGUAAAGCUAAAUCACAUGGCAUGAUAAUCUUUCCACUAGUAUGGCACUAUCAACAUAGUCAUGAGCAUGUCAUAGUUCUCUACGAUAGAGUCAAGAGAAUGUCAUUGUUCUCUACCUUAUAAGUGCAUUCUACACUUGUUCAUAAGUCAUUCAACUGAAUUGACUACAAAUAUAAAUACUUUCAUGUGUAAGUGUUCUCUACUUUGUAGAGACUUUAUUUCAAUUAUGUUCAACAUUAUGAUGACGAAUGUCAAGCCCCUUAUUAAUCACAUAAACACACAAGAAGACCAUUUCUAUAAUACAUAUAGAACAUAGGGGAAUUUCACUUGCUCUGGUUAGGUCCGACCCACCUAGUACUAGGCUCCAAAUCAACCAAGGAGUCCCAAAAAAUCAGAUCCACUAGGUCUCAACCCUGCUGAACACAAACAUCAACACCGCGUCAAAAGAACGACCGAAAAAUCCGAUUUCUGCCUAAAUUACACGUAAUACAAAGUAAUCCCUUAAAUCCCUGUUUUGGGACUAGUGUUAUACCUCAAGAUAAGUCUUCAAGAGCUCUCACAGGUCAACUAACGAUGAUCCAAGGCUCGAUCGCACUCUCGCUGCGAACAAAAUCAAAACAACAUCAAACUCGUCAUAUAUUAGCAAUUAUAGUCGGAAUCUUGCAAUUUCAACUUCCUAACUGAAAUUCUUACUUACCUUAGGGUAGAACAACUUCCAGACCAGCUUCAACGAGUACAAAUUCAGCUCAACGAAGCCCGAAGACCUGCUGCGAAGAAAUAAUCCCCAGUUGCAUCAAGUCGCUCCAAUAAUUGCAUUAAGUUCCGAUUUAGCUUCAUAAAUGGCUAAUUCUCUCAAUUAACCUUCAAAGAAGCUUAUCCCUAGUCUAAGGAGCUUAAUUCACAGCUAAAUAAUCCAACUUUAAUUGCUGAAAUCUCAGAGUAAAGCAACUAGAAGCAAUAACGCAAAAGCAACACAUAAACGACUACUCGAACGUUGAUAAUGGAGAAAAUCGAGUCGUUUACCUCUUCAAGCUUCCAACCAGCACCUCGCUGGUCCAGAGUUGCAAAGAACCUUCCAAAAUACUCUCUCACGCGUCCACGAAAGCUCUGCGACGCUCGCAAACAGCGAAGAACAAGCGCGGCGACGAAAACGAGCGAAAUCGUCGAAUUCUAUAUAGAGAGAGAAAAACCCUAGAGAGAGAAAGAGGAGAAGGUGAAGAAACCCUUUGCUGAGCUCUAGCACACUCCACUGAAGUCCCAGAGUCGUGCUGGGAUCAAAUAGAUAGGUAUCCAAUGUGAAAAGACCAAAAUAGCCUUGCUGCCAGAUUUCUGCCAGUCUGUACCGGUACAAGGUGAUGGCUGUACCGGUACAACAAGCAGAAAAAGGCUGAUUUCGCCUGUUUGAUGCAAUUUCUCACUUUUAGCCUUCCAAUCAUCCUCUAACUUAUCCAAAAACUUGUUCUAACCUUUUAGAACAUGUAGGAUUGAUCCACACACCAUUCCACAUACUCGAACUCCGCAAUUUGCAAAAGUCCAGUAUAUUACACAACCUCUACGGUCAACCUCGUAAAGGAGGUACCUACCUAUAAGGUCAAAUCAUAUAGGGCUGAUUCAGCUGACUUAUAAGGUCAAAACCCAACAGAUAAGUAACUACCAAUCUACUAUAUCAUAUCAUCAUCAGAUGCACUAGAAUGAAUGUAAUACACUGAACUUUAGCAAAUUGCGAGGUUCUAAUGUUCGAAUAGUAUUUGGCACUAUUUUGGGUAUGUUGGAGGGUCAUAGACUGUGUUCCGACCUGUUUACUCACAUCUUGAGAAGCAAGGAUGAGUACUUAGCACCAAAGCCUCCAAACUGCAGGUUUUGGGGUGUUGGGUACCGGUACCAGAGAGGGGUACCGGAACAACGUCGCGCAACAGAGAGAUGUGCUCUCGGGUUUGAGCUCUGCGAGGUAGAGUACCGGUACUACAUCACUCGAGUAUCGGUACUGGGGCUUGGUACCGGUACUACAUCGCGUGGGUACCGGUACCCUGCGUGUUGUUCGCUUGACAGAGGCUCAGGUUUGCACGUUCGGCUGCGGGGUACCGGUACUCCAGCCCGCGUACCGGUAUGUAGUGCAGUCCACAGGCUACAUGUUUUUUAGGGUCCUUUUUGGAAUUGUAGCAACACUUUAUAUAACCCCACACCUCUUGAGUGGCUUUUUUGUGCUGGAACUAGAGCAGAAGAGAGGUGAGUCUCCCCCUUCACCUCUCUCUGAUUUCUUCUCUUUUUUUGUGAGAUUUCAUGGGUUGACCUCUCCUUUUUGCUUCUUUUUGCUUCUUUUUGCUUGGUGAUGGUUCUUCUACCUUGGAGAAGCUUUGGAUUGAGGAUUGGAGCUUGUUUGAGGAAGGAUCUCCAACCCUAGCACCUUUUAGCUUGGUUUGGAGCUUGGGAAAAAGGUUAGUAACCUUUCUACUACAGUUGAUUGUGGUCUAUGCUUGGGUUUUGGAAGAAAACCUAGUUUUGAAAAAAUUAGGUUUUUAUUUCGGGGUUUUUGAUUUGUAACCUUUGGGGUGAAUUUGAUGAGUAUAGAACUAUCUUUUAGGUUGGAUUAGAAGCAUCCUAGCCUUCAUUUGGAUUUUGGAAGAGUUUUCUACCAUCUAAGGUAAUUUUCUAUCUAUUUAUGGGUUGGAUUAUGAGAAAUUUUUGGGUGUUCGUUUGAAGCUCCUAACCCUCUUGAAAUUUUUGUUAGGGAACUAAGAGACUUGUGGACAACUCCGUUCGCGCAAAUAAAGGGGGUUGUGAGGGGUAUUCGGUGGGUUUGACCUCACCGAAAUCGGUGAACUCCUCCUAUGUUAUAUUUUGUGGUUUAAAAUGGAAAAUCAUGCAUAUUCAUGCUAGAUAGGGCAUAAAUGAAUUUUUGAAUGUCUAAAAUACAUAUGUCAUGUAUCAUGUUUUGUAACCUCUACGUAGUAGAGAGAGAAAUGUAUCGUAAGUUGCAUGUGAGGUGGCAUUGUUAUACUAUGUUGGGAAUCAUGAUUUGUUUAGUAAAAUGACAAGCUUUUACAUGCUUAUGAACAAAGAACAUAUGCUAGACAUAGAGAACAUUAAUGUUAUAGAGUGGCAUUCGACUUAGUAAACGGUUAAAUCUUUAUACUGUGACAUAGAGUUAUACCUUUGGGUUGCUAGUACUUGUACCAUAUUUUAGACAUGACGAUUGUGGAAUUGAGAUGGAUGAUUAUACUUGCUUGCCAUUGUGCUUAUUCGCACAUACUUUUGAGGGUUGCUCCCCACAAGCCAGCACUCUGGAGUUGGCCUACGCGACAUAUGCUCGUCCAUGCGGGAUUGGGUGCCUACUGGGUCGCCGUAGGAUAGUCACAUUCUUAGAGGGAAAUGCUGGACUAUCAGGGGCCAUUAAGCAACACAAGCCGGACUACGCUUGUGUAGAUCCCUAAUUGGCUCAUGAUUGGUAACAAUGUCGUUGAUUUUUCAAUUUCCAAAACGAUCAAUUUUAGCUUUGCAUUUAAUUUGUUUCUCAGGUGGUAAUAACUAGCAUGCAAAUUGCAAACAAGCUUCUUCUAAUUGGCAGUUAUCAGAAAAUAAAGGUACAAUUUAAUUUUCAUUGUUAUGUUGCUUUUUUUAAGACAUUUCGGUGCAUUAUAAAUAGAGGUUUGUACCGCAUUAGCAAAUUAGUUCUGUAUUUGAGAUCAGGGUUCUAUGUUGAUCAACGAAAGCUUAAAAUUAUUCUUCUCCAUAAAGUUGAUUGCAUUCAACUUACUAUGACAUCACAUCGCUUGAUCAUUGUAACUUUAACACUGGUCAUGUCUAGGUAACAACAAGCUCUCUUUAUUUUGUUGUUUGGAUCUACUAAUUUACUACUUUUGAUAUGAUCUUCUUUGGUGAUGUAAUAGUUCCUGACAACCAAAUGCCAAAAUUAUAGCUGAUAUUGAGGAUUUUCUAUUUUUUUUUUAAAUUACAUUUCUUCAGUUUCAGAUGGCACUACAACAUUUUGUAUUAAAGGUGGCUUUUAUCGGUACCUAUAGCGGCUUUUAGAAAAGCCGCAACAAAAGUACCGAUUUUUCUGAAAAAGCCACAAAAAAAGCCAGUGAAAACUAAGUCGGUAUAGGUCUAUGUCAAUAUAACGGCAUAUUGCGAAAGCCGCAUUUUAGUGCCUAUAGUGGCUUUUUGAAAGCCACUAUCAGCAUUCAAACUAUUGUACUAUUUUAGCCGUCUUUGAUUAUCUAUAGUGGCUUUUUGCCAAAAUACUGCAAUUUCUACAGUUUUUAAGAGCUACGGCAAUUGAAAAGCCGCCUUUUAUUAGUAUAGCGGUAUUUGGUGUGCCACAAUGCGAUAGUUUUUGUGGCUUUUCAAUGCUGUUAAUAAAAUUAUGUUGUGGCUUUUUGGAAGCUGUUAAUAUGCAUAUACAAUGACUUUUUAUAAAGCUACUAUUGAUCGAAAUAUAUGGACUUUUGAAUAUGUAUAUUAGCUAGGAAUAGUUGUAUGAAAGAUACAAUACAAAAAUGAUAUAUUCAUAGCAAAAAAGUUGUUUUAUUUAUAUAUAAGUCAAGAGUAUCGAAUGAAACCAAAAUACUAAUUGUUUCUUACAUACUCAACAUUAAUAAAAUGAUAAAAAAUUAUAAUAUCAAAAAAUAGUUUUUUAGAAAUGACACAGUUGCUCAAAACAUAAAAUGAUGCUAUGAAUAUAUCAUUUUUGUAUUGUNCUUACAUCCUCAACAUUAAUAAAAUGAUAAAAAAUUAUAAUAUCAAAAAAUAGUUUUUUAGAAAUGACACAGUUGCUCAAAACAUAAAAUGAUGCUAAAGGUCAUAGUAGGUCCAAAUACAAAAGAAAUGAUCAAGUAUCACUGGAAGGAUUUGAUAAUACUGACGUAUAGCAAGUGCCUGAAGACUCAAGAUUCUGUAACAAAAAUAAAAACUUCUUUCAAUAAAAUAAGAAUAUAGUUAAUAAUUAAAAUAUAAUGAUAAAAUCGAUAAAAUUAUCUAGAUAAAGUCAUUUUUCCUACCUGUCGACUGCCACCAAGGUUACAAUCUGGCAUUUUUUGUCUUAUAAAUUCCAUAACGUCAGCUAAUUGUGACUGCAGUUGGGAAACCAUUUUUUUACUCUCUUGCACUUCCUCUCUUAACUUUUGUACUUCUUCCGUUGAUUCCAAGUUAUAACACACACAAUGUUCAGAUGGGAUCAAUCCUAGCCCUCUUACUCGGCUGUCAUACUCUGUCACGCCCCGGGACCCAGCGGAAGCCCGCCCGGCGCGUGCCCAGACCUGCCAUACGUCUAAAACGUAUAAGGCGUCUAGAAACAACAAUAAUAAAAGCAAUAAUAAAAGACAUCUAGGAGUAUCAGAGCAAUAUAAAUGUCUAAAAGCUACAAUAAGGGUAAGGAUAAAACUGUAAAUCCACUAAAUAAAACAUAAAGUAAGUACAAAAGAAAAUCCCAAAUACAAGUGCUAAAAGUAGGUACAUAGGUGGUCUCUAUACAUGAAUACAAAAAUCUCUCUCUCUCUCAACUACAAAAAGAAAGAGUAAACCACCUAGGCAAAGUACCGCUGCUAGCUAGCUAAGCGAUCCCCUUGCCGCGAUCCCGUGCCUCCGCCGGUGCCGAAGGCUCUGAAAAGUGAACCAUAAAACAGGGGCGUGAGAACUAUUAAAAAUAGUUCCCAGUGGGCAAUUACUGACUUCAGUGAACUGCGCCACAAGGCCCAAAAGCUACAAGAAAAGGUCAGUGACUAACAAUGUAAUAAUUAAACGGUAAGUGAAAUAUAACCUACUAUAACAUAGAGUCUCCACUUAGCAUGAUUUGCAUAAGUAAUAAAUCAACUAUAACAUGAAUGUACAUGGAUGUGUAAGACAUGCAUAAGCGUAGAAAUGCAACCAAUCCAAUGUCCUCAAUGCAAAGAUAGUAAAAAUGUCGUCGUUUACUAUUCUAGUCCAAGUCCACUUUAAUAGUUUUAAAGUUCACAUAGCAUGUUCUGUCACUAAGUCCCAAUCAUAUAAGACCCACCCGAAGGCUGUCUGGCCUGCGCCGUGCCUAAUGGCCCCGUGGUAGUCAACAUCCCCACUCUAGGGAUGAGCCUCCCCCACGGCGAUCCACUUCGGCGCCCAAUCCCGCACGGCGAGCAUGUGUCGCGAUGGCUAUCUCCGGAGUGCCGGCUUGUAGGGAGCGACCCUCACAAGCAUGUGCGAAUGAGCACAAAUGGCAAGCAAGCAAUGAUCUGUCUCAAGUACCAAGUCCUCAUGUCUAAAACAUGGAAUAUGUCAAGUACCACGAUGGCCUAUCUCUAUGUCGUCAUGUCUCUAACAUGGAAUAUAGCAGAUACGUAAUGGCCUAUCAAUAUGUCUCUAUGUUGCAGUUUAAAUGUUUACUAGUUCCAAGUGCCUCUUGAUGACCCUUUUUGCUACUAAGUUCAAACAUAGUAUAAUGUUUCCCAUACAUGAACAUAAGCUAAAUUAGCAUACUAGACGAGAAUCCCAUUCGUCCACAUGAACCCACCCCACAUGCAUGACAAUAACCUUGAUUACUCUACCAUCUAGAGUGAAAUUUAACUUACACAUAGGGCAUGCAUUUUAGGGGUUCUAAAUUUCACAUAAAUUCCAAUUAGCAUAGGAAAGCAUUUAAAAAUAAGUUACGAAUAGUUUAGAAUGCACAGGGGCCAUUUCGCCCCAUUUCCAUGAAGUCAAACCCACCGAUGACGACGAAACUCCUCGUUCGCUCCAACGAGGGUGUCCCCUAGUCUCCUAGUAUCCUAGAGGUAUAGAAACAUGUGUCAAACAAGGCUCACGAACAAAGCUAAGCUCAAACAUUAAGCUUCUCUAGCUAGGUUGGAGAAAACUCACCGAAAGCUAAAGAAUCUCUCUCGAUCUCAAAAAGGGAGUUAGAUUCCUUCAAAUCCAACCUAAAUCAAAGUUCUAAACCAAUCAAUUUGGUUCUAGAAGCUACAAAUCAAAAAUCCCCAUUUUUAGCCCUAAAACUCAAAAUCUAGGGUUUCAUCUAGUAGAAGAUAUUAAAACUUGAUCCAAAAGGGAGAUUUAGCUUACUAACCUCACAAGAUGCCCAAAACCAAGUUCUAAGCCAAGUGGAGUUGAAGUUUGAUCCUCCAACAAGCUCCAACCAAGAUCUCAACCUUCUCCAAUGGUGGAAAUCCCAAAAAAAGCAAGAAGGAGAAGAAAAGAGAGAUCAAAACCACUAAAAACCCACCAAAAAAAGAGAUCAAAUCAAGAGGGGAAGACUCACCUUGCUCUCCUCUGGUUAGGGCUCAAAAAGAGCAGCAAAGGGGCUGGGGUAGUUUAUAAAGAGUAUUGCAACAAUUGCAAAAAGACCCCUCCACGAAAUCUGCCCAGAGGCAUUGUGUACCGGUACACGGGAAAGUGUACCGGUACACUUCCUGCGAAACAGCCCAACCCGAGCCUCGGGUUGGCAGAAAAUCUAAUGUGUACCGGUACAACCAUCAAGUCGUACCGGUACAAAUUCUGUACCGGUACAACCAUCAAGGCUGUACCGGUACACAGCCUGGCUGAGGCUAAUCAGAGAGUACUCCAACAAUCCAACCUUUUGGGAUUUUGGUACAGGUUUAAACCCUCAAUUCUCAGGAUGCGAGCCAUAGAUCGGAACGCUGUCUACGAUCCUUCAGAAAGUCUGAGAUGGCUCGACACACAGAUCAAACACUCGAACCUCGCAAUUUGCAAAGGUCCAGUGUGCUACAUACUCUUUUCUUAUGACUUCGAUAUAAAUUUUGUUUUCCAUUGUAAUCACAUCCUCUCGAGAAGAUUCAGAUGUUCCAGAGCAAUUAGCCAAUUUGUCUUUAGCAUCAACCUAACAAUAAAUUUUGUUAACAAAUUUAUAGAAAGCAUCAAUUUAGACAAUAUGAGAGGACAAGUUUCCUUUAGCAUUUUAUGAUCAAAAGUAUAGAAAGCAUCAACUUACAAUAGCAAUACAAAGAAAGUUGUAACAACCUAUCAUUUAUUCAAGGGUUUUGGAAAGCUUUUAUAUUCCAUAAUUAUGAAAGAUAAAAAACCAUCAGCAACAUUCCCAUCGACUAUCCAAGAGCUCUAUAAUAUUUCAUGGUUAGGAAUUUAAAUUAAGAAAAUAACAAUGAUUUGACCUAUAGACUAAAAUGUUGCAUAGAACUAUACUAAAAGAAUCCAUUAACUUAGACAUGCUAUCUAGCUAGGUUAUAGACAUAUAGUAAAUAUAGAGUUGAAAGCUAACAAACAGAGUAGUAAAAUUACCAUUAAUUUUUUCGCAUUGUCACUUAUAAAUGAUCUAUUUUUUUUCGUGUGAGUUAGUUCGAACAUCUCAACAAGUCUAGGUACUCUGCCAGUUGUAUCUUCCUGCAAAUAUCAUAAUGUAGACAAGUAUAAGAAUGUUGCAAUAACAUAAGUUUUACAACAAUCAAUAAAAUAAAUAGUUACAAUUUCUUUCUCUUUUCGUGCAAAGCUUUUGGAUCCUGAUGUAUGUGUGUAUUUCUGUUUGGCUCGACUUUCUUUGUAAGGACCGAGAUUUUUGCAAUGUAGCUAAACUCUCAGUUGAUGAUGUUUUUGUGUGUAAUUUAAUUACAAAAGCACUCGUCAAGUUUCGGGAGAAACGAGUUAAAACGGAGAUUUUACGCGAUUUUCAAGUUUCACUUAAAGUGAAUAGUAACUCAGUUUUCCGGAGAAGACACGGUGCGAAGUUGGCUUCUAGUGCGUAUCGGACUCCGUUCAUAGCAGUCCAAUAGCUCGUUUCGACCGGUUCAGCUAUUCUAGAACUGAUGACGCUGACGGAUUUUGAGUUUGAUGCACGGAUUUUGAGAAAAUCUAAAAAUACGUGUUUUAUAUGUAUUUGUGCGUAGUUCUUCUGUUGGAGAGAUGGAUCGGAUUUCGUUGCGAAUCCGCGAUGGAUCGAGGCGAAACGAAAUUGUAGCUUUGUUGUCUCUAUUGUACUGAUCACACUGGUACGAUCCGUUCGCAAAUCUGACGGACGGAUCUACGGAGAUUGUGCAUUGAUCGAGGAGAGGUUGGUGAUGGCAAAACGGUAUUUUCGUAAAAAGUGCGACAUUUUAUGUACCGUUUUACGUGAGAUCGCACGUGGAGGGGUAUUCUCGCGUUUUACACGCGCUGUAAGGGACUUAGUACCAAAUACUGAAGUUUGAGGGGCUUUUUCGCAAUUUGCACCUUAUAUAUAUAUAGUGUAUCUAGGGUUUUCUACCUUGAAAUCCUAACCCUAGACCCUAGCCGCACCUUGCCAUCUUCUACUCCCUCCUCUGACUGCACAGUGCGCUCCCCAGCCGCCGGCGCACGCUGCCGGUCGCCGAAGAAUGAGGUUCCAUCUCCCUCUCCAUCUCUCUCUCCAUCUCUCUCUCUUUUCUUCUCGGGUUGGAGCCCUAGUCGAGGCUGCAUUGCCUCCCUAUUCCCUGCCGGCGUCGCCCUGACCCUAUCGGAGCUUCCCCCGACCAGUCGCUGCCGCCUGCCGCCGUCGCCUGCGCCGCCGCUGCUGGUUCUGCAAUCUGCGGCCGCCCCAGCCCGAGCUCGGGCUGAGGCUUGUGUGCGGCCUCCCCCUUGCGUCGCCGCCGCCCCGGACCAACCGUGAGGCACCUCCCCGACCUCAGGCCGUCGGCCGCUGCCGCCCCGAGCCGCCCAGUGCGCCGCCGCCGCCACCUCGGCCAGCCCUCAGCCGUCCCUGUCUGCUCGGGCCGAGGCAAGCCUGCGGCUUCCUCCUCGCGCCACUGCCGCCUGGGACCACCCGUUCCGCCUGCUGCCGACCUUGGGUGAUCCUCCUCCGCCGUCUCGGAGCUCCCCGGCCGCCGCCGUGGCCGCUUGUACCCGCGAAACCCGAGCUUUAGCUCGUGCGGGCUCAAGUCUCUCCGCCGUCACCGCCGCCGCUUCUCGCCGCCAACUGAGGUGAGCAUCGUGUUCCUCACCUCCCCCACAUCCAUCCCUGACCCGCACGCAUGCCGCAAUGCCGCCGGAAGCCGGCCGGAGAGGGCUUGCUCCGGCCAAGCCCGAAAUAGGGCUUAUUUGAGUGGGUUUAUUGUUCUGAGCUUCUUGAGCUUCCCUGAUCUCUGCGGAAGGGAGCACGAUGAUUGUAGCAAAUUGCUGAUCAUCGUGCUCACCUUAAAUUCUGUCGGGGAGACUCCGUUCCGCUGUUUCUGCGGUGUCGACCCGAUUGAGCCUUUUCGAUUGAUGUUCCAUGCUUGCGCGCGUUUUUUCGGCGAUCCGAGGCUGUUCCGAUGCCUCCGGAGGUGAGCACGGUGAUCGAUGGUUAGUGCUGAUCACAGUGCUCACCUCACUUUGGAUCAACAUUGUCCGGUUAGCCCUGUUUGGCGCGAUCUUCCCCGACUGCGCGCUGUUCACAGAACUUCGGGUUGCUCCCGUGCCUCCUACAGUGAGCCGAUGUGCUCCGGACUAUGAGCAUGGCCUCCGGCACAUCGAGACAUGUCAAUACAUGUCUCGGUGGAACUUAGAAGUCCUCGGUUUGCGUGAACGAGCUAUUUUAUUGCCCGAUUUACAUAAAAUAUUGGGGAAGAAGGUAACUCGUGACACGAGUCGGUGAGUUUCGGGACACUUAGUGAGUCCCGACGACGUCCCAGUGUGGUUUUCGGGACUUCCGGCGAGUUACGGUAUUCGAUAUCCGAUCUUCGUGAAAUUGUUUGUGGGGUUGUGGUUACUGUGGUUCUUAGUGGUGGGUUAGAUACUAACCCGGUGGACCCUCUAUAGGUCCUGUCGACAUUCUUUUGCAGUCAGGAGACAAACGCGACAUCCUUACAGGUGGGUACUUCGAUCCGACGUCGGUACAAUGGUGCACGCUUGGUGAUGGUUUCUUACCCUUACUCUUCUGUUGUUACUAUCGCAUAGUAUAUUGAGCCUUGCACCCUUGUUUAUUCGUUAUACUCUACUCGUUGUUUGCAUGCUUAGUAUCCUGAGUAUGAGUAGAGUAGUUCUAUCUACAUGCAUAUCUGUUGACCUAGUUGGUCUGUUGUCGCAUUCCGUAUUCUUUGACCUAGUUGGUCGAUUGUUGCAUUCCGUAUCUGUUGAUCUAGUUGGUUGGUUGUGCAUUCCGUAUCUGUUGACCUGGUUGGUCAGUUCUCGUACUUCGUAUCAGGGACCUUGUUGGUCAGUUGGACUCUGUGGACCUUGGGUCGAGGCAACACAUCGACUCUCUUGUCAUGUGUUUUGAUCUGGUUGAUCGUGGUUUAGCGUUGUACGCCCUUGUUUCUGGCUUCGGCCUAGGCACCGGCUUCAGUCGGGUUUUGUAUUGAGCAUACCAGCAUGACUUAGUCACAGCACUUGGGGGUGUUCACGACACCGGGUCGGUUUGGCCACCGACCGGAGGUGUGCUUAUCCGGAUGGAUCGUCCUGUGGGGCAGGUGAAUCAGGUCGGUGCAGGUUAGUGAUAGGCAGCGCUUGAGGUAUGCGGACCAAUAUAGCAGGUACCAGAUUGGGUAUAUUUGGACUUCUUGUCCGGUUGACGCAUAUGACUAUAGUAGCGGUUGUUGCAUGUAUACUUACCGUUCCUUCUUUACAGUUGUCUUACUACUAUAGUUUUGUUGCAUAUAUACAUUCAGUUGUUCAUUACAGUAGCAGUAGUUGUACUUCUUUCAUAUAUAUGUCUCUUUCAUUCAUUAUUAUUGCUACUGUAUUUCUACUGACCCGUACUGUUGUUUAGCUCUUCCUAAUCCGGUGAGUACUCUUCGCCUUCAUCGGCUUGCGGUACCCACUGGGAGGGAAGACAUGUUUACAUGUUCUCACCUUCCCCACCAUUUUUCAGGUAUUGCGGGCGGUGAGAGUCGAGACGAGAUGUGAGACACGUUCGUAGCGGUCGAUAGAGCUUCCGACCCAGGUUAUUCGGUUUAGUUUUUACCCUUACUAUUAUGUUGAUAUAGCUCAGAUAGUUUAUAUGGUUCAGUAUUUUUAUUACAUUUGAAAAUGUGGGUUUUCAUGAAUGUAAUAAAGGGAUUUGUGAAAUUUAUGAAAAGAAAAAUAGUUUUCUACCCCUCGUGAUAGCGCGUUUUAAAAGAAAAGGUUUCCGUAUGGGGAACAGCUUUCAAAAGAGUUUUCUUAUGGUUUUUAUGUUUAAACACUAAAUAAUAAAUAUUUGGUGAAUGGUGAAUGAAUGUUGUGUAUUGUAUAUUCAUGUAGUGUGGUUGUAUCUUGGUUAUACUCUGUUUGAAAAUUUUGUACUUGUGCGACGCCGUGCAAAUACAGGGGAGACUCUGUCCGUGUGAACAGUGAACUCCCUGUAUUUGUGGCGGGUCUGGCAUACCCUGGGGUCAGGUUUUCAAAAAAAAAAAAAAAUUUCCGCUAUGUUUUAACCUAAAAGGGACCCCGGGGCGUGACAUUCUUUGGCUAACUUCUCUCGUUUCUCCCAUUUAAAAGAUAAUAAAAAAUUAGUCAACAGUACAUCCAUACUAGAAAUUUCAUAGUAAUUAAAGGAAAAAAGCAUAGUAAUGCCAUAUUUGGUCAAUAAUACUUACUCUACCAAUCAAGUAUUCCUCCACACCACCACAUACAACAUCAUAGCAACAAACCAUUACAUAAGAAAUAGGGCUUACUUGUGAAGCUAGGAACAAGGAUGCAAACUAUUCUCGUAUUUCUACCACCCAUGCAUGAGACACUUGUAAUGAUUGAAAUGAAAAAUAAUUGAACCUUGAUAAAGAAAGAACUAAAAAUUAAUGAGCUUAUAUUGGACUUGGUUACAUGGAAAGUGCGUUCGACGAUUGCAGCAUUGACCAAGGAUCCGAGGAAAGCAAGGGCAAAAGCUAGCAUGAACAUAUAGUGUGUCAUGUUUAAGAUUUGAAACAAUAGAACUAAUUGAUAUAGAAAAGAUAAAUGAAGAAGAUGAUGACUUCUUUCUUAGAUAAUUGUAUCUUGGUGUGGCACAAACCAUUAGUUAUCUUUAUAUAGAUCCUUGAAAUGCAUACUGAUAAGGAAACAAUAAGAUAUAUAAACAACGCAUAAAGAAGUAGUUGAUCACAUUUUCGGCAUUUAGAAUCAUUAGAUACCGAACUGAUUUGAAAUUCCAAACUAAUUAAUAAUUUUGACCAUUCUUCAAAGGUGUAUUUAUCUAACAAACAUAGGGAGUAAUAUACGCAAAAGAUCGUAAAACCUCUCUUAGUAACACCUCCACCCAUCCUUUAUUCCUGCGAAGCCACCAUUAGUUUAAAAACCCAAAAAAGCAAACCCCACACAAAACUACAACUUCACUAUCAGUUAAGUAACCAACAUGCACCGAUAGUAGAUAGUAGAAGCAGUAGUAGUAGCUAAAUAUCCUUUGUUAUUCUCAUCUGUUUUUCUUCAUGUACGUUCAACGUGCAUGUGUUAAAAGUAUCUGGUUGGUAGUAGAUAGUAGAAGUAGUAGUAAUAGCUGUAACUUAAUUAAUUGCUGAAACCAUUAGUAGUAGUAGUAGUAGUAGUAGAACUAUAGUAGUAGGUACUAAGAGGGCCUAUUUUAUAAUAUUUUUCCUGCCACAGAACAUAAUAAUAAGCANAUCUUUUUUUUCCUAAUAUUUUUCCUGCCACAGAACAUAAUAAUAAGCAUCAUUAGAGCUCUCAUAGCUAGGUUAUCAUUUGAUUGAGAGAAUGAGAAAAAAAACACAAAAACAAAAACAAAAAACAAACUAAUGGUGCUGUUAUUUCCAAGUAGAGAUUACAAUGUCUUUUUCGUGUGGAUUCGAUAGAUUGUUAUUUCCUACUAAUUCCAUCGUGCCUUUGGACUAAUUUAUUAAGUAGGUAAAUCUCCUUGUAAGUAGCCUAUGGUACGUAAUCAUGUGAAUUUUAUUUGGUCCUUGAGGUAAUAGCAAAUUAAUUGAAAACGUAUUAAGAAAAGAAAUUAUCUGAAAUGGAUUGUGAAUUUACUAUUCUCCUUUUUCUUUGUCUUCUUCUCUCUCAUACAUCGAUCAUUAAAAGUCAACCAGAGUAUAGAAAGCAUUAUCUAGAAAUAAAGCAUUGACACCAUUACAUGACAAAAAUAAAUCAUACCUUGGCAACAUCAGAGUAUAAAAAGUCAACCAGGCUCAACCAUUGCUGCUUUGCUACACCAGGAGGCACAUUCUUACUAAUCUCUUCUUUUGGUUUUAUUCGGUCAAAAUGCUUGGCCUUCAAUUCAACUUUGUAGUCUUUCCAUUUCUUGUUUAAAGAUCUCAUGACAAAGGCUCACCCUUUCUUUGAUUGAAAUUGAAAUUUUGACUGCAAUGAAAAUAUACACAAAAUUAAAAAAUAUAUAUAUAAUAAGAUGGUUAUAUAAACAUAUGUAAACAGUGUAAAAUGUGUCAAAUACCAUGGCAAAAGACAAAGCUUCAUUUUUUAGUGAAUUGGCAUUCGUCUCCAAUUAAUAUAGUUUAGAGGGCAGAAUUGACCAUUUCGUGCAACUAUUCUGCAAAAACCAACGAGCAACCUUGCCUCCUUAUUUAUGGGUUUCCCUCUUUUGUUAAAUCGAACUUGAAUACGCCAAUUCUCAUCCAUUUCCCAUAUCUCCUUUAAUGUUGUACGACCUCUCUUUCUUUCUCUUUUUCCAUCGUCAUGACUACAAAAAAGUCAAUGCUAUAAUUAGACUUUAAUUACAUAUAGCUUAGCUUGAUAGAAAUAGUGUCAUCAAAGUAAAAUGACCCACAAAAAGAAAGAUAUAAGAUAAUACAAAAAUUCUAGGGAGAAGAAUCUAUGAAAAUCCUGCAAAGGCAUAUUGUAUUCCAAUCAACAGCAUAUGAACCGUUGCAUUCCAAUCAACAGUUUCAUUAUUUCAGACCUAAAACUCCUUAACAAGUAUCCUAAUCGAGAAUCUGAUUUUUAUUAUUCUGAUGUUGUGUCAAAGAUAACUUAUAGUAGACAACUAGAGAUAGAAAAUCACUCAAAACUGUUCAUACUGGUCCACACAUUCACAUUACCGAAAAGAAACCAUUUCCAUUUAAUUAGGAGCAAAAUAUCAAUUGUUUUCAACUAGGAGAUCAUGAAGCGAUCUCAGUAUUCAGGAAAGUAGGUGUUAACACACUUGUAAGGUACCGGACUUUUAAAACUACGAAGUUACGGUGUACAUUUAAAUGGUUCCGGUGAGGUUGCGAUGGAAUGUAACAUACCGGAUUUUGAGUAUAAAGGUGAAAAUAAAUAAAAAUAGUAUGAGAUACUAUUUUAUUGGGUUUAGAGAAGUGAAAUAUAGAUUGGAAAUGACCUGUGCUGAAAUCGGAGCGAAAACAGAAGAUUUAGAAUUUUCUGUGAGAAACGGGGCAGAUAAAUUAGCAGAAAAUGCACAGUGUCAGAAAAUUAUGAAAACUGUAGGAUAUGUCAGAAAUAUUUUUAUGAGGCUAGAUUUAAAGUUUCAUACCAUUCUGACACCCGUAGAGUGAGAAAUCAAAUCCGACAGUUAUCUGAUUAAGAUUACAGUUCGGCACAGUUUUCGGUGACCAAACGGGGUCGAAACUGAGAACUUAAGAUAUAUCCUUACUCAGCACGUUAAACUGAGCCUGCCUGUCAAAUUUGAGCUCAAACGGACAUUCAGAAGGGCUCCAACGAAACUUAUCAGAUUAGGGACUAAACUGGAAGGUUGAAUAGUUGAGGGGCUAACUUGUAAAAAGGGAUUAAAUCCCUUU